rnacentral:tRNA from 1 species
UCAGUUUUAUUAUAUAUCUAUUAUAUUAAAUUUCCACUUUAAAGAUCCAAACGGAAACUGAA